UACGUAGGGGGCAAGCGUUGUCCGGAAUUAUUGGGUUUAAAGGGAGCGUAGGCGGAUUGAUAAGUCAGUGGUGAAAGCCCCAAGCUCAACUUGGGAAUUGCCAUUGAUACUGUUAAUCUUGAGUGAGGUUGAAGUGGGCGGAAUAUGACAUGUAGCGGUGAAAUGCUUAGAUAUGUCAUAGAACACCGAUUGCGAAGGCAGCUCACUAAGCCGCAACUGACGCUGAGGCUCGAAAGCGUGGGGAGCAAACAGG
rnacentral:rRNA from 1 species